AGAAGAACGAAUAAAAUUAACCAUGUUGUGUCGGAAACGAAAAAAGAUAAAAAGAGACUGGUAUAAUUUUGUUGAUAAAUCAUAAUCAAGUUCUCUAGGUAAAAUUACUACUCGAAUUUUUAAGUUCUAUAACAAACGUUCAUUCAAGCGUAGAUAAAUUUUAUGGAUUUUAUAAAAGUUACAUACCUAUAAUAAUUAAUAUUUACCAUUAAAAGAUUUAGUUUUCUUUUGUGCAAAAUAUUGACUGUAACAAAGUUAUUAAUGAUAUGAAAAUAUGGUGAAACAAACAUUCUUUAUGUUAAAGAAAACGCCAAGAUAAAUGAAAAAAAUGUUAACCUCCUAUCAAUAACAGAAAAAUAAAUAAAUAUAAGUCAUACAAGAAGUUGUAAGAGUAUACUAAAAAUAAUUGUAAAAGAAAAAUCGACCUCUGAGAAGAUCCAACUUAUAGUACGGAAAACAACCGAAUGAUCGGGUCGUUAACCAUAUGAUAUGUUCAUGAAACAAAUUUAAAAAGAAAGAGUGCAUUCAUAAGUGAGUUACGUAUUUGGAAGAAGUAAGGCUGAAAAUGUCAGAGUAUACCUAUCUAAUGGUGUAUUUAUAAGUGAAUGACGGAAGUUUGAAGACGAGUGAAUCGAAAAUGUUAGAACACCUUAAUAAUAAAUAAUAUGGAGUAAUGAAGAUGCUAAUAUUUUAAACUUUUUUUUAAAUCAAUCAAUAGUCAAAUAUUUUUUGAAAAGUUUAAAUAAGUUUUCAUAAAUAUAAUAUAAUACUAUACUUUAUUAUAAUAUGAAAUUAUGAUCAAAUAACAUGUUUUUAAAAACUCUAC